rnacentral:rRNA from 1 species
CACGUGAGUUGCGAGCGUUGUUCGGAAUUAUUGGGCAUAAAGGGUAUGUAGGCGGCCGUGAAAGCUUGGUGUGAAAGGCAGGGGCUCAACCCCUGGACUGCAUUGAGAACUGCACAGCUAGAAUUACUGAAGGACAGCCAGAAUUCCAGGUGUAGGGGUGAAAUCUGUAGAUAUCUAAAAGAAUACCAAUGGCGAAGGCAGGCUGCUGACAGAUGAUUGACGCUGGGGUACGAAAGUGCGGGGAGCAAAC